UGAAAAAUAGUUUAUUUAAAAUGGCGUUUUUGUAAAACGUUGAUGGAGUUUCCUUUUUUAG
rnacentral:tRNA from 1 species